rnacentral:rRNA from 1 species
AUACGGAGGGUGCGAGCGUUAAUCGGAAUUACUGGGCGUAAAGCGCGCGUAGGCGGUUUUGUAAGUCGGAUGUGAAAGCCCCGGGCUUAACCUGGGAACUGCAUUCGAAACUGCAAGACUGGAGUAUGGGAGAGGGAAGUGGAAUUUCCGGUGUAGCGGUGAAAUGCGUAGAUAUCGGAAGGAACACCAGUGGCGAAGGCGACUUCCUGGCCCAAUACUGACGCUGAGGUGCGAAAGCGUGGGGAGCAAACAGAAUUAGAAACCCGAGUAGUCC